rnacentral:rRNA from 1 species
GCGGCGUGCUUAACACAUGCAAGUCGAACGAUGAACCUCUUUCGGGAGGGGAUUAGUGGCGAACGGGUGAGUAACACGUGGGCAAUCUGCCCUGCACUCUGGGACAAGCCCUGGAAACGGGGUCUAAUACCGGAUAUGACCAUUGGGGGCAUCCCUGGUGGUGGAAAGCUCCGGCGGUGCAGGAUGAGCCCGCGGCCUAUCAGCUUGUUGGUGGGGUGAUGGCCUACCAAGGCGACGACGGGUAGCCGGCCUGAGAGGGCGACCGGCCACACUGGGACUGAGACACGGCCCAGACUCCUACGGGAGGCAGCAGUGGGGAAUAUUGCACAAUGGGCGAAAGCCUGAUGCAGCGACGCCGCGUGAGGGAUGACGGCCUUCGGGUUGUAAACCUCUUUCAGCAGGGAAGAAGCGUGAGUGACGGUACCUGCAGAAGAAGCGCCGGCUAACUACGUGCCAGCAGCCGCGGUAAUACGUAGGGCGCGAGCGUUGUCCGGAAUUAUUGGGCGUAAAGAGCUCGUAGGCGGCUUGUCGCGUCGGUUGUGAAAGCCCGGGGCUUAACCCCGGGUCUGCAGUCGAUACGGGCAGGCUAGAGUUCGGUAGGGGAGAUCGGAAUUCCUGGUGUAGCGGUGAAAUGCGCAGAUAUCAGGAGGAACACCGGUGGCGAAGGCGGAUCUCUGGGCCGAUACUGACGCUGAGGAGCGAAAGCGUGGGGAGCGAACAGGAUUAGAUACCCUGGUAGUCCACGCCGUAAACGUUGGGCACUAGGUGUGGGCGACAUUCCACGUCGUCCGUGCCGCAGCUAACGCAUUAAGUGCCCCGCCUGGGGAG